CAGCAGUCGCCACGGUAAUACGAAGGGGGCUAGCGUUGUUCGGAUUUACUGGGCGUAAAGCGCACGUAGGCGGACUUUUAAGUCAGGGGUGAAAUCCCGGGGCUCAACCCCGGAACUGCCUUUGAUACUGGAAGUCUUGAGUAUGGUAGAGGUGAGUGGAAUUCCGAGUGUAGAGGUGAAAUUCGUAGAUAUUCGGAGGAACACCAGUGGCGAAGGCGGCUCUCUGGACUGUAACUGACGCUGAGGCGCGAAAGCUAGGGGAGCAAACAGGAUUAGAUACCCCUGUAGUCCCUGUCUCUUAUAC
rnacentral:rRNA from 1 species